UACGGAGGGUGCAAGCGUUGCUCGGAAUUAUUGGGCGUAAAGGGUAGGUAGGUGGUCUCAUUUGUCGGGGGUGAAAUCCCUGGGCUUAACCCAGGAAGUGCCUCCGAAACGGUGAGACUGGAAUGCUGGAGAGGGUCGCGGAAUUCCCGGUGUAGCGGUGAAAUGCGUAGAGAUCGGGAGGAACACCAGAGGCGAAGGCGGCGACCUGGACAGUUAUUGACACUAAACUACGAAAGCGUGGGGAGCAAACAGGG
rnacentral:rRNA from 1 species